rnacentral:rRNA from 1 species
GUGUCAGCAGCCGCGGUAAUACGGAGGGUGCAAACGUUGCUCGGAAUCAUUGGGCGUAAAGCGCACGUAGGCGGUCCAGCAAGUCGGGUGUGAAAGCCCUCGGCUUAACCGAGGAAGUGCAUUCGAAACUACUGGACUUGAAUACUGGAGAGGAUCGCGGAAUUCCCGGUGUAGAGGUGAAAUUCGUAGAUAUCGGGAGGAACACCAGUGGCGAAGGCGGCGAUCUGGACAGAUAUUGACGCUGAGGUGCGAAAGCGUGGGGAGCAAACAGGAUUAGAUACCCCCGUAGUCC